rnacentral:rRNA from 1 species
UACGUAGGGGACAAGCGUUGUCCGGAAUCAUUGGGCGUAAAGCGCGUGUAGGCGGCUCGAUAAGUCUGCUGUGAAAGUCGGGGGCUCAACCCUCGGAUGCCGGUGGAUACUGUCGGGCUUGAGUACGGAAGAGGCGGAGUGAAUUCCGUGGUGUAGCGGUGGAAAUGCGCAGAUAUCAGGAGGAACACCAAUUGCGAAGGCAGCUCGCUGGGACGUUACUGACGCUGAGACGCGAAAGCGUGGGGAGCAAACAGG